GACGAACGCUGGCGGCGUGCCUAACACAUGCAAGUCGAACGGGAUCCAUGAGAGCUUGCUCUCGGAAGAUCUAGUGGCGAACGGGUGAGUAACACGUGAGAAACCUGCCCUGGAGUGGGGAAUAACUCGGGGAAACUCGAGCUAAUACCGCAUACCCUCGGAUGGUCGCAUGGCCGACCGAGGAAAGAUUUAUCGCUCUAGGAGGGUCUCGCGGCCUAUCAGCUAGUUGGUGGGGUAACGGCCUACCAAGGCAACGACGGGUAGCUGGUUUGAGGGAACGAUCAGCCACACUGGGACUGAGACACGGCCCAGACGCCUACGGGAGGCAGCAGUGGGGAAUCUUGCGCAAUGGGCGAAAGCCUGACGGAGCAAUGCCGCGUGAGUGAAGAAGGCCUUCGGGUCGUAAAACUCUGUUAUAAGAGAAGAACAAAUUGUAGAGUAACUGCUACAGUCUUGACGGUAUCUUAUCAGAAAGCCACGGCUAAC
rnacentral:rRNA from 1 species